UCUCAUCUCAAAAAUCAAAAACAAAUGAAAGCUAGAAAAAAUAGAGAAAGAAAAAGCAAAAAAGAGGAUCCAUUUUCAUCAUCCGCCUUACUCACUUCCAAACACUAGUGACACAUCUUCACAGUACAACAUUACCUCUCACGACCGUCGUUAUAAUGCUUCUUCAUGUACCACAAAACUACCACCAUCGAACACACCAUCAACUCGUAGCCAACAAACCCAUCAUCCACGCACGAGCCUACACCCCGAAGAUAUCGCUUACGCCACAGCUGCGAACUCGAACUUAAAACUCGUCGGGAAGCCAAUAUGCGGUAUAGAUCUUAUUUUUGUUUCUUAUGAAUUUUCCAUAUUUUUAUGGUUAUGUGCUUUUUCUUUUU
rnacentral:lncRNA from 1 species